UUCGGAAACUUGAGAGCGGCGCACGGGUGCGGAACACGUGUGCAACCUGCCUUUAUCUGGGGGAUAGCCUUUCGAAAGGAAGAUUAAUACCCCAUAAUAUACUGAAUGGCAUCAUUUGGUAUUGAAAACUCCGGUGGAUAGAGAUGGGCACGCGCAAGAUUAGAUAGUUGGUGAGGUAACGGCUCACCAAGUCUGCGAUCUUUAGGGGGCCUGAGAGGGUGAUCCCCCACACUGGUACUGAGACACGGACCAGACUCCUACGGGAGGCAGCAGUGAGGAAUAUUGGACAAUGGGUGAGAGCCUGAUCCAGCCAUCCCGCGUGAAGGACGACGGCCCUAUGGGUUGUAAACUUCUUUUGUAUAGGGAUAAACCUACUCUCGUGAGAGUAGCUGAAGGUACUAUACGAAUAAGCACCGGCUAACUCCGUGCCAGCAGCCGCGGUAAUACGGAGGGUGCAAGCGUUAUCCGGAUUUAUUGGGUUUAAAGGGUCCGUAGGCGGAUCUGUAAGUCAGUGGUGAAAUCUCACAGCUUAACUGUGAAACUGCCAUUGAUACUGCAGGUCUUGAGUGUUGUUGAAGUAGCUGGAAUAAGUAGUGUAGCGGUGAAAUGCAUAGAUAUUACUUAGAACACCAAUUGCGAAGGCAGGUUACUAAGCAACAACUGACGCUGAUGGACGAAAGCGUGGGGAGCGAACAGGAUUAGAUACCCUGGUAGUCCACGCCGUAAACGAUGCUAACUCGUUUUUGGGGCGCAAGUUUCAGAGACUAAGCGAAAGUGAUAAGUUAGCCACCUGGGGAGUACGUUCGCAAGAAUGAAACUCAAAGGAAUUGACGGGGGCCCGCACAAGCGGUGGAUUAUGUGGUUUAAUUCGAUGAUACGCGAGGAACCUUACCAAGGCUUAAAUGGGAAAUGACAGGUUUAGAAAUAGACUUUUCUUCGGACAUUUUUCAAGGUGCUGCAUGGUUGUCGUCAGCUCGUGCCGUGAGGUGUUAGGUUAAGUCCUGCAACGAGCGCAACCCCUGUCACUAGUUGCCAUCAUUAAGUUGGGGACUCUAGUGAGACUGCCUACGCAAGUAGAGAGGAAGGUGGGGAUGACGUCAAAUCAUCACGGCCCUUACGCCUUGGGCCACACACGUAAUACAAUGGCCGGUACAGAGGGCAGCUACACAGCGAUGUGAUGCAAAUCUCGAAAGCCGGUCUCAGUUCGGAUUGGAGUCUGCAACUCGACUCUAUGAAGCUGGAAUCGCUAGUAAUCGCGCAUCAGCCAUGGCGCGGUGAAUACGUUCCCGGGCCUUGUACACACCGCCCGUCAAGCCAUGGAAGUCUGGGGUACCU
rnacentral:rRNA from 1 species